rnacentral:rRNA from 1 species
GCUCGAGUGGCGAACGGGUGAGUAACACGUGAGUAACCUGCCCUUGACUUUGGGAUAACUUCAGGAAACUGGGGCUAAUACCGGAUAGGAGCUCCUGCUGCAUGGUGGGGGUUGGAAAGUUUCGGCGGUUGGGGAUGGACUCGCGGCUUAUCAGCUUGUUGGUGGGGUAGUGGCUUACCAAGGCUUUGACGGGUAGCCGGCCUGAGAGGGUGACCGGCCACAUUGGGACUGAGAUACGGCCCUG